GACGAACGCUGGCGGCGUGCCUAAUACAUGCAAGUAGAACGCACAGUUUAUACCGUAGCUUGCUACACCAUAAACUGUGAGUUGCGAACGGGUGAGUAACGCGUAGGUAACCUGCCUGGUAGCGGGGGAUAACUAUUGGAAACGAUAGCUAAUACCGCAUAAUAUUGAUUAUUGCAUGAUAAUUGAUUGAAAGAUGCUAUUGCAUCACUACCAGAUGGACCUGCGUUGUAUUAGCUAGUAGGUGAGGUAACGGCUCACCUAGGCGACGAUACAUAGCCGACCUGAGAGGGUGAUCGGCCACACUGGGACUGAGACACGGCCCAGACUCCUACGGGAGGCAGCAGUAGGGAAUCUUCGGCAAUGGACGAAAGUCUGACCGAGCAACGCCGCGUGAGUGAAGAAGGUUUUCGGAUCGUAAAGCUCUGUCGUAAGAGAAGAACGGGUGUGAGAGUGGAAA
rnacentral:rRNA from 1 species